rnacentral:lncRNA from 1 species
NNNNNNNNNNNNNNNNNUCCCAAUGGGAUCCCACCAUCCCAAACUCAAUUCUCUUCCAUCCCAAUGGGAUCCCACCACCCAACCCCCAUCAUCUUCCAUCCCAAUGGGAUCCAACCAACCCAACCCCCAUCAUCUUCCAUCCCAAUGGAUUCCCACCACCCCAAAUCCCAUUGCCCUCUACCCAAGGGGGUCCCACCACCCCAAACUCAAUUCUCUUCCAUCCCAAUGGGGUCCCACCACCCCAACCCCCAUCAUCCUCCAUCCCAAUGGGGUCCCACCAUCCCAAACUCAAUUCUCUUCCAUCCCAAUGGAAUCCCACCACCCCAACCCCCAUCAUCUUCCAUCCCAAUGGAUUCCCACCACCCCAAACCCAAUUGCCCUCCACCCAAUGGGGUCCCACCAUCCCGAACUCAAUUCUCUUCCAUCCCAAUGGGAUCCCACCACCCCAACCCCCAUCAUCUUCCAUCCCAAUGGGAUCCCACCACCCCAAACCCCAUUGCCCUCUACCCAAUGGGGUCCCACCACCCCGAACUCAAUUCUCUUCCAUCCCAAUGGAUUCCAACCACCCCAAACCCCAUUGCCCUCCACCCAAUGGGGUCCCACCACCCCAAAUCCCAUUGCCCUCCACCCAAUGGGGUCCCACCAUCCCAAACUCAAUUCUCUUCCAUCCCAAUGGGGUCCCACCACCCCAACCCCAUUGCCUCCCACCCAAAUGGAAUCCCACCCCCCAAGAAAAGCACGACACCCAUUGGGUUCAUCUUGGGGAAGCCAUGCCAUUGUGGGUCAGGGGAACAAGCGCACCCAUGGGACCCCCACUUCCUCCCCCCAUCACGGCGCCUGGCGGAGGUGCGUGCGCCGGUGCUUGCGGAGCGAGGAGCUGGAGACGAAGCGCUUGGCGCAGCUGGCGCAGGGGUAGGGCCUCUCCCCGGUGUGGAUGCGCUGGUGGAUGAUGAGCGUGGAGCUGGCGCGGAAGCUCUUCCCGCAGUAGGGGCAGCCGUAGGGUUUCUCCCCGGUGUGGAUGCGCCGGUGGCGGCGCAGCGUGGCGGCUUCGCGGAACGCCUUCCCGCACUCGGCGCAGGCGUGCGGACGAGGACCCGCCGGGUUCUUCCGUCGGGACGAGGGAGCCGGGGGCUGGGGGGGCACCGGGGGUUCAGGGGAUGAUGGGUGCUGGGGGGGUGCUGGGUCCUGGGGUGGCA